GAUGAACGCUGGCGGCGUGCCUAAUACAUGCAAGUCGAGCGAACGGACGAGAAGCUUGCUUCUCUGAUGUUAGCGGCGGACGGGUGAGUAACACGUGGAUAACCUACCUAUAAGACUGGGAUAACUUCGGGAAACCGGAGCUAAUACCGGAUAAUAUUUUGAACCGCAUGGUUCAAAAGUGAAAGACGGUCUUGCUGUCACUUAUAGAUGGAUCCGCGCUGCAUUAGCUAGUUGGUAAGGUAACGGCUUACCAAGGCAACGAUGCAUAGCCGACCUGAGAGGGUGAUCGGCCACACUGGAACUGAGACACGGUCCAGACUCCUACGGGAGGCAGCAGUAGGGAAUCUUCCGCAAUGGGCGAAAGCCUGACGCAGCCACGCCGCGUGAGUGAUGAAGGUCUUCGGAUCGUAAAACUCUGUUAUUAGGGAAGAACAUAUGUGUAAGUAACUGUGCACAUCUUGACGGUACCUAAUCAGAAAGCCACGGCUAACUACGUG
rnacentral:rRNA from 1 species